GAUGAACGCUGGCGGCGUGCCUAAUACAUGCAAGUCGAGCGAACAGAUGAUGAUCUUGCUCCUCUGACGUUAGCGGCGGACGUGUGAGUAACACGUGUAUACCCUACCUAUAAGACUGGUAUAACUUCGGGAAACCGGAUCUAAUCCCGGAUAAUAUAUUGAACCGCAUGGUUCAAUAGUGAAAGACGGUUGUGCUGUCACUUAUAGAUGGAUCCGCGCCGCAUUAGCUAGUUGGUAAUGUAACGGCUUACCAAGGCAACCAGGCGUAGCCGACCUGAGAGGGUGAUCGGCCACACUGGAGCUGAGCCACGGUCCAGACUCCUACGGGAGGCAGCAGUAGGGAAUCUUACGCAGUGGGCGAGAGCUUGACGGAGCAACGGCGCGUGAGUGAUGAAGGUCUCCGGAUCGUAAAGCUGUGUUAUUAGGGAAGAACAAAUGUGUAAGUAACUAUGCCCGUAUUGACGGUACCUAAUAAGAAAGCAACGGCUAACUACGUG
rnacentral:rRNA from 1 species